rnacentral:lncRNA from 1 species
ACUUAUCCUAGGGAAUUGCUUAUCUGAAAACAAAACAAAAACAAAAACAAGGAAAAAUUGUUUGACUGGCAAUCACUCAAAAAAUACGAGGAUAAGAAAUAUGUAUGCUGUCCAUUUCUUUGGAAAGCCCUUC